rnacentral:lncRNA from 1 species
CUGCAGGACCAGGAAGGGUGAGGAACCUGCGCGGGAUGCUGCGGGGGCUGGAGAGGGCAGGCCUCGCGCUCGGCGGCCCUCCAGCCUGGACCUGGGGAGCAAAGAGAAGGCCCCCCCCCCACGCAGCUCCACCUCCCGGCCGCGCCCCGCAGCCCCCGGCUUCGCGGGACUUACCGCCUUCAGCUGCUCCAGCCGGUCCUUCAUCCUGCAGCCCAGGUGCCCGGAGGCAGGUAACGCGUCCCAGGUGAGCGCGUCCCAGAGGAACCGCCGGAAGUGGCGGCCGGUCCCGGCCGGGGCGAGGGAGCUCCAGGCGGAGGCGGGCGGCGGCCCUCGCUAGGAGGAGCGUCCCAGGCCACCGAGGCUCCGCCGCGCCGCCUCCUCCGGCCCCCGCCGCCGCCGAGCGCUCCAAAUCCGGCUCCCGGGCCGGCGCCGGCGCGCAGCGCUCAUCCGCCCGCAGGCCCGCCCCUUACCUGGCCGCGCCCGCGCUCCUAGUUAAAGGGCCCGCGCCCGGCCGCUGCCCGGCCCCCCUCGCGCCUCUCACUCCACCUCUAACUCCAGGUCCCUCAAAGAAGUGGAGGCUCUGGCGCUGGUGGACCCUGCCGCUAGGAGAACCGUGGGGGUGGCCUCGAUUGCGUCUUUUCUACUCCACAGCCAUUCAUUAUCUAGACUGGGAUCCAGCCCCCGGCUGACUCAUUGCUAGGGUGGGACAAUCUCCUGGAAACUAGCAACUAAGACAAUGUGAUUUGUGCCACCGUCGGUGGGAGGAAAAUGUUCUGAUGACACUCAAGAGAUAUUCCCCCUGGAGGAAGGGCAUUCCAAGCACCAGAAGCAGCGCGGCCCGGGCUGGAAGGGGUGUCCCGGGGUGUCCCAGAGGAAUAACUAGAGAUGAGGUGGGGAGGGGGAGGCUGCGGCCAGGAGUUUGGGUUUUUACGCUGUUAGUAGUUGAGGUCUGACACCUGCCUUUAAUAAUUUGUAUACCUUUGGGAAAGCUCUGUUUCUCAGGAGGAUCCGUUUCCAUAUCUGUAAAGUCAGAGAUAAUAUCUAUUUGGCAGUUUAAUAUCUACUUGGUCUACUUGUGAAUAUCUACAAGUCUACUCGUUUCCUACCAAGUGUAGAGGUUCCCGGGUGUUUUAUGAAAAGAUGGACCUGUUCUAAUUUCCCCUCCCUCCUUAUCCCUUCUCUUCCCUCUCCCUCUCUUCCCUUCGCUAUUUUUUGGGGGGCGGGGGGGGGUGGGAACCGAAGACCAAUGACAAACUGAGCAGAAGAGAACUCAGUAAAUGGGACUAAGGAACCAAAGAUGUAAUUCUCAACUUAGGGAAAGAAGUUCUCUAUGCAUUCAGUUUAAAAGGUUAUAAAUAUUUUUGCAAUUCUAACAGGACUUUGCCCUCUUCUGCGACAUGCAUGCUUCACGCUGACUUCAUCGACUGCCAUAAAGAUAGUCUGUAUGACAGGGGUUGGGCUGUUUGAACUAGCCCUGCGGUUCAAAGCUCUAAUCCUCUCCACGACGUCCAGCAAAUAUUCUUCUGCCUCCAGCGCUCUUUAGAUGGAGUCUUGUUUACCACGAAGACUUCCAUGCCCCCUGGUGGUCAUAAAAGGAAAAGGUGAGUACAUCACAAUACAACACCUCCUUCCUUUGAUUUUUGUUAGUGGGGAUAGCAAGGUUCCUGCACUUGCGGAAAAUUGGGUCUCCUACAGGAGACAGAGAUGAAGAACUCUACACUGGAAGUUUGAAAAGGACCAUAGUGGUCAAGAGUAAGGAUUCCAUUCCAUAGCAGGAACCAAGAAGUGGCCAUGCAUCCUCCACCAUAACACAUUCAAGGCUUCUUGUUAAAACAUAAUUGCUUUCAAAAGAGUGAAAUCAUGGCUCUUGUACAAAUAUAAAAUGAACACGCAAAUAUUUUAUUUAGUUCAUUAAUUAAUGAAGGAACCAAUAAGGACUUAAACUUGUGUAGAGGAGAACUCAAAAAACAGAUACACAGGCAGUAGGGAAGCUGAAAUGAAUAUAAUAAUAAAGGCAUAACUGUCUCUGUGGUGGGGGAUCAGUUGUACUGCUGCCUGAUAAAAUUUAUUUGCAUCUCUAUGGACAAGAAUCAUUUGCAUUACUAUCCAUAUUUUUAACUUACAGAAUUGGAAAAUAGCUACAUAACCAUUCAAGGCAUGUACCAUUAUAAAAAUCAAAUAACCCAGAAAAGUGCAUUAGAUAAGUCCAUCACAGGAUACAUGCCAUAGAACACUCAAUAAUCUUUUGGGGGGAGGGCAUUUUAAUUUUUCCGGUUCUUGCAGACACUCCCAAGGUAACACCUUCCAUGGUGUUACCUAACACUAAUUAUAUGUAAAAUUCUUUGUUAUACUGAACAAAAAUUUCUCUCCCUGUAACUUCCAUUAUUUCUUGCUCCUGGCCUUUGUGCAAACACUUAAGAAAUUCAAUCACAUGAUGGUCUUUCCAGGAAGGGAGAGUUGCUAUAGGAGAGGAGCACAAUUCCCAGGCACAUGACCAGGAGGCCUGAGUUACCACGAAAUAGCUGUCACUUGACAUCACACAGCUUAUUUUCUCCUCUGUCAAAUUAAGGUACUGACCAAAACUAAUAAUUCCCAACUGUUCAAAGUCAAGACUGUCAUAUAAUCAUUAUUUUUAUUUAUAAAUCUCUCAUUUUAAAAAAAUGCCAUAUCCCCAGAAAAUAUAUAUACCAUAUAACAAGACUCUAUAAUAAGAAGCUUGGCUUCUUAUAAAAGAAUGUUUCCAUGAUGGGGGGUAAAAACAAUCUUUUUGGUCACUCUAUGUGGCUAUAGCAAAUAUGUCUAUAUUUCUCUGAAAGUUUUUAAACAUUGAAAAUACCAUAAAGAGCCCUCUUAACUGCAAUUAAAAUCCAGAAACCCAGAGAGAGAAGCCCAUUGGCACAUGUUUUUUUUUUUUUUUUUUUUUAUGGCAUUCUAUUGGAAGGUAGUUAUCAAAAACUUGGACCCUUCCCUACAACUCCUGCUAGGCAUGAAUUCUAAGUUGUUAAUUUUAUAUUAAUACUUGUUCUUUCAGGCAGAAGUGUGGAUUCCAUUCCACUGUCUGUGCAAGAAACUGAAAAAAAAAGUAAUUCUGGACAAAGGGCUCAGGCUUGUAGUCCCAGCUAUUUGGGAGAAUGAGACUGGAGGUCUCCCAAGUCUCUCUCAAGUUUGAGGCCAGCCUGAGCAACUUGGCAAGACCCUGUCUCAAGUUUUUACAAAAUGGAGAGGGCCCAGGGUUGGGAUAUAGCUCAGUGGUAGAUCACUUAGCUAGCAUGUGCAAGGCCCUGAGCUCAAUCCCCAGUACCAAAAAAAAAAAAAAAAGUCAAGUAACUGUGGGACAAGGGAUGGAGGAAGGGGUCCACGGACCGGUCAGGAAGACUGAUAGUGCACCCAGCUGGUCCACAGGAUCUUGGAGUAGGGAGUGCUCAGUAGGAGCUCCCUCUCUUGGAUGUAUUUGUAUUUUUCUGCCCUAUGAUGGUACUUGGUCUCCCACCUACUGGGUCUUAGUGCAGCUGUUUCCCCACUGGAAAAAAAAAAUAGUCAGGAUUAAUUCAAGUGUUUGCAUUUUGAUUCAUAAACCAUCAAUAUUUAAUUUCACAUUUACAAACAAACCCAAGAGAGCCUCUUGAGUUUGGGGACUCCACUUUCCUCUCUUCUCUUCCUGCUGAGCCAAUGUCUUUCCCACUGAAGAAAAGGACUGAACCUAACCCUACCUGUACAGCCACAGCUGCUGUGAGACAGGUGAGACCAUUUCUGUCUGGGAUGCCCUGAGGCAGUGUCUGCAGGGUUUGGUGCUGAGUAGAAAGAGAUAAAGGGAGCUGGAGAAUUGAAGAAGAAGGUCCUUUCUCUUCCCCACUGUAGAGAGGAAGAAUAAACCUCCUGAUUGACAGUCUCCUCCUUCUUACAGUUUGUAUUAGUUGUCAGAUGCUACCUAAGAAUUUGCUCUAAAACCUAGCUGUUUAAAACAACAAACAUUUAUUAUCUCAUAUUUUCUGCAAUUGAGAAAUCCAGGUCCAGCUUGGCAGGAUGGCUCAGCCUCAAGGUCAAGGACCUGUUUCCAAGGUUAUUCAUAUGGUUGUUGGCAGAAUUCAGUUCCUUAAGUGCUGUUGGACAGAAGGCCUUGCUGGUGAUUGGUUGGAGGAGUCCCUCAGUUCCUUGCUACAUGGUCCUCUCCAUAGAGCAGCUCACAACAUGGCAGCUAGCUUCUUUCUACCAGAGUAGGAAAGUAAGAGGGAUAAAGAGAAAGAAAGAAAAGCCCCAGAGUUGUUGAGACCUACUCUCAGAUAUGACAUUCCAUUACUUUUGCUGCAUUCUAUUAUUAGAACUGAGUCACUAGCUUCAGCACACACUCAAGGCAAGGGGAUCAUACAAGGGCAUGAAGACCAGGAGCCAAUUCAGUGGCUGCCUGACAUAGUUCAAAUCCCAAAUGAAUGCCAGAGUUUUGCAACUUCACCUCUUAGAGCUCUCUUCUCCCCCAUAUCUAACCUGGACAACUCCAACCCAGUCCCCAGACCUCAGAGUAGAAUGCUCUAAAGAAAAAAACACCUUACUCCCCAGGAGGAAGUUAGGUGUCCCUCGAAUGUGCUUCUCUGGCACCCUAGAUUCCUCCAUUGCACCCUUCCAUAUUGGAUAAUAACCUGGCCACUUGUGUCCACAGGAGAGCAACUUGUCUUUCUUGUUCACUGAUGUGGAAUCUGACCUGAACAGAGGACCAAAACGUACUAGACACUCAGUAAAUGUUUACUAAACUUAUUAAAUGAAACUUCUUAAAAUGUGGUUCUCAUCUUUCAUAUUAAAAACCAUUGUGUUCUCAUUACCAAGAGAGAGUCCAUACUCUUCUUGGAAUUGCAUUCAAGGUCUUGCCCAAUUUGGCCAAGGCCUUGCAUAAGGUCACCCCAGACACACAGCUCCACCAUCAGCCUCAGCAAACCAUCACCUCUUCUCUUAACCUAACUCAUCCUUCCAUGAGGUCCCACUUCUCUCUGCCUCUUAUGUCCUUCUUCCACGUCAAGUCUGACAAAUUCCUACUCCUCCAAGACAGAGGCUCUCUGCAUUUUACCCAGGUGGUUUCCAUACUUGUCUCUGUACACAACCUCCCAACUUGUUCAAGUCUCUUUUAAAAAAAAAAAAAAUCUUAUGUUGUCUUGAACCUAGUUUUUCACAUAACCAUUUCUCUAGAUUGACCGUGAACUGCCUGUGAGUAACAACUGGAUAUUUUUCCUCCAUAGCUCUCAUGAAAUAGGUCUGGGGAUCCUUCCCCUCUCCCUAAGGAGGAAAGAAAAACCCUUCCUGGAUUCUGGCUCUUAAAACCAAAUGCAAUUGCAACUCCACACAACUUAAAGGAUGAAUUUGGUGUUGCUGAAUUGAAUUCUAGAUUUAAAAUAAUAUGCUUUAUUGACAAAGAUGUUUUAUAUCAUGUUGUUCAGAUGUUUCCCUUACAUAAAACAUCAUAUACUAUAGGUCUGUGUCUAUGAAUUUCAAUGUAAAUUAUUUGUGCCACAAUUUGCUUUGUGUUUUUACAUAAAAUCCUCAGACCCUGCAUCCAUAAAGCCACAAAGUACUACACCAAAGAGGUUGGUAGGGAAAAUGUGAAGACUUGGUGAGGAAGACUCUGAACAAAAAGCCUAUAGUUAUUUCUGACCUGCUGAAGACAAGAUUGUUUCUUAUAGCACUUUGAAUAGAUGUCAAGACUAGCAGGAUAAUCGUAAUGAAGCACAGGAAAGAGGCACUGGGAUAAUUUUACUAAUUAAAAGGGUAAGUCACAUAGUGUGAGUACUUCUCAACUUGGAAAUUUGAAUAGCUAUGCUGAAUCUUUUACUUUACUUUUAGUUCUCUUGAUAUCUCCCAAUAACUUGGGGGUGAGGUAGAGUGGAUGUUGUCCCCAUUUUAUUGUGAACUAAAUUAAGUAUGGAGAAAUAAGAUGGUUUUUCCAAGCUCGCAUAAGGUACUUAUAGCAUGCCAUGAGAGCUCGUGAUUGCGUGCCCAGGCUGUGGGACCAAACUGCCCAGGUCAAAUCACAGUUCUAUUAUUACUUGCUCUGUGAUCUUGGAUUUACUUAACUUUCCUAGGCCUCAUGUUCCUCAUCUGUAAGCAAAGAUAAUAGUCAUACACAUCUCAUGGGGUUUUUUGAAGACAAAUGUGUGAACAGUUGGAAAUCAUCACUUCCCUUAUUCAAUCCCUGGAAUAGACCACACUAACUAACCCAUUAUAACUGCACUACUUUCUCAAAGAACAUGAGGAAUUGAGAAAUGCCUGUAAUACUUCAAUCAAGUAUGAAAUAACCUUCUUAGUAUUGAAAAGUCAACAGCAGCUACUAAAGCACUUUUCAAAAGAGGUUUCAACAGGAUAAUACACUUAAAAAGGCACUCAAAGAAAGUUAAAAAAUAAGGUGAAAUGCAUCCUUCAUCUUUUUUUUUUUUUUUGGUACCAGAGAUUGAACUCCCGGGCACUAGACCACUGAGCAACAUCCCCAGCCCUAUUUGGUAUUUUAUUUAGAGACAGGGUAUCACUAGUGUCUCCCUUUUGCUGAGGCUGGCUUUGAACUCAUGAUCCUCCUGCCUCAGCUACCUGAGCUGCUGGGAUUACAGGCCUGUGCCACUGAGCCCACCUCUCAUCCUUCAUCUUUGAGAGUCAUGACUCAGGUUUUCAUGCUGCAGUCUCUGAGAAAACCUGCAGCAAACCCCUAAUAGUAGUUUGAUCAGCACAAUGUCCUUCACACUAGUUGAACACAUAACAUUUAUUCCACCUAAAAACCUAAUAGCCAAAGAACUAGUGUCCUAGCAGAGUAUAUUAUAUAUUAAGUAUAUAUAAGUAUAUAUUAAGACCUUAAAAGAAGCAGCAAAUGACUACAAAUGAAACAAAAGGAGAUCCUUUAGGGUUCGUGUCUAUCAAAGGAAGAAAGCAAAAUUUCAGUUCCAUGUAAAAUGAAUUCUGGUCAUUGUUUUUUAUUGAUCAAGCUUAUGAACCUGUUACAAAAAAUAAAAUGUUGCAGCACAUUUUUUAUACUUUUCCAGAUAAGGAAACAGAGACCCAGGGAGAUGAUUUCCCAUCCUUGUGCCCUGCCAGUUCCCUCCUUCAGAAAUGCAUUUCCUACUCCAGAGAUCUAGAAACUUGUCAUGAUGCAGUUCAAACACCACCUCCCACCAUUAUUGCCGUUUCUCCCUCCUGUCCCUCUUCUGAAGUCUCAAAGUAGUGUAUUACUUGACCCUUGGUGUAACUGUCCCUUGAGUUCUUCAAUCACAUUAGAUUUGCUUUGAGACAGAAGCUGCUUCUUACUUACCUUUCCAUUUCCUGCUCUACUUGCCACAAGUGGAUGCAUAGUAUAUUGUAGAGAGCAAUAAACAGUCGGUUACUGCCUUGUUGCAUGAAAAAAAAAAAUCAUCAAAGAGUAGGGGAAGGAAUGCAUGCCCUAUAACUAUGAAAAAGAUGUUCUGAUACAUCUGUGUUCUGACACUGUUGUCUUGAGACAAGUGGUCAUCUGGUAAAUGACUACCACCCCAUAAAGAGACACACCAAAGAGCUCCUCUCCCUCCUCAAUGUGUCCAGUCUGUUUCUCUUCAAAAAUUAUCUUUGCUCUAUGUGAAUCUAUUUGAAUCAAUAUUUCCCUUCUUCUACCCCCAGAGAGGUUCAGUUAAUAAAACAAAUUUAUCCUAUUGUGCAUACAUAGCUAGGGAGAAACAAAAAGAAAGGAGAAUAUGGAAUAUGAGAGAAAGAGACUAGAGAUGGUACUGAACAGCCCAGAGGACAGCAUCCAAAGGGCGACUAACAGAGUUAGAGAUGGGGAUGAGCAGCUUGGCUCCAGGAUUAAAAGAAGCAAAGUGAAACUGCUAGCACUGAAAUUCCAGAGCUUUCCCCAGCAUCGUUCCCUGGAAAAUAAAUUGGGUGAAAAUUAAUAUUUUCUAACAGUUCAGAGUUUAUGCCACAUCAAGAGAAAGGGGCUACGAUGUUCCCAGUGUGAUUUGCAUCUUAUUGCUGGUUGUACAUCCCUCCCAGGAUGUACAGCGUUUGAGAUUGUUGACAACCUAAUAACUGGAUAUGAAGAUAAGUCCAAGGUAGGGCUAGACAUGGGAUGCUAAUAACCACAUUCACGGCAAUCUCUCCCUUUAAAAGUCAUGAAGUAUUUUCACUUAAUGUAUCUGGGGAUUCUUCAACAUAGCUACAUACUGUGGGGUUAUUAGUCCUCAUUCUGGAGAUGAAGAAACUGAGGACGACAAAAAAAUAAAAAAGAUAUUUCAAAGUACUGCAAUCAGGAAGCCUAACAGUAUGAAACCACUGCCCUGUCAGCCCCCAUCUCCUCCUCUUGCAGUCGACUUGUCGUCUUCCCUGGGGAGUGUUGUGGAGGAACAGUCAGAGUGCUCGCUGUGCUAGAGCACAAGGAACCUCAUCAUUGCUCUCUUCAAAGCCUCCUUAAGCUCCCUGCUCCUCAUGCUGUAGAUCAAGGGGUUCAGCACAGGGGUGACAAAUGUGUAAACCACAGACACCACCUGGCCCCUGUCUGGAGAGUACCUGGAGCUGGGGCACAGGUAGAUGACACUUGUGCACCCAUACUGCAGGAGGACCACAGUCAGGUGGGAGGAGCAGGUGGAGAAGGCCUUGUGCCUCCCCUCUGCACAGCGCAUCUUCAGGAUGGCAGCCACAAUGAAGACAUAGGACAGGGUGAUGAGCAGGGAGGGGAUGGUGAGCACAAUGACACUGACCGCAAACAGGGUGACCUCGUGGACGUGGGUGUCGGCACAGGCCAGCCUCAUGACAGGGAGGACGUCGCAGUAGAACAGGCUGAUCUCCUUGCUGCUGCAGAAGGGCAGCCGGAAGAUGAGCACAGUCAGCUGCAGGGCCAAGGCGAACCCCAGCACGAGGGACCCCACGGCCAGCUGCACACACACGCGCCAGCUCAUGAUGAGGGUGUAGCGCACAGGGUGACAGAUGGCCACAAACCGGUCAUAGGCCAUGACGGCCAGCAGAAUGCAGUCCGCGCUGCCCAGGAAGAUGAAGAAGAACAUCUGGGUGCCGCAGCCUGGCAGGGAGAUGAGGGUGCUCUCUGUGGACAGGACGCUGGCCAGGGUCAGAGGGGCGAUGGUGGAGGAGUAGAAGACCUCCAGAGCUGCCAGGUUUGCCAGGAAGAAGUACAUGGGGGUGUGGAGACAGCGGUUCAUCCAGAUGGUGAGGAAAAUGGAGAGGUUGCCAGUGAUGCUGACCAGGUACAUCCCGAGAAAGGUCACGAAAAUCAGCACCUGCACCUCGGGGAGUCGGGAGAAGGGGCGGAAGUGGAAGUGGAUCAUCCCAGUUUGGUUUGCUUCCUCCAUGUGUCCUCUGCAUUGGGCCUGCUGAUAGCCCAGGCGCUGCCCCUGAGGACAGAUCAAUGUCAGGACAGAAGCUACUGCUGCAUGAUUCACCCAAAUCUCGGCCUCACCAUCCUGGAUCACAGGUCUGACUGUCUUUACAACCAAUCUGAAAUUAGUAACUCUCCUAUAAAGCUGUUCUGUUGUCAUCACCCAGAAGUACUUGACUCCUGAACUAUGUCUGGAUGAUUCACCUUUGUAUCGGGAUUAUAUAUAAUAACAAUAGAAAUAUAACAUGAUUAUCACAUUAGGGAUUUGUAGGUGUACAGACCCAUUGUAUUAAGUGACAAUGUCAUACAACCAUGGCCUCUUCUUCUCCUCACCAUCCAAAAUUCUGUGCCCGUUAUACUAUAACCCCAUUAUGCCCUUCUCCCACCCCCUUACUCAUCUCUACUUCUAUUUCUGUCUCUGUGCACAUUCCCAUUCUGGGUACCUCGUGUAAGUGAAAUCAGAUGAUUUAUGUCCUUCUCUGACUGGCUCUUUUGAGUGUGCAUAAUGCUUUCUAGGUACAUCCAUGUAUUAGUACAUAUUAAAAUUAUGUCAUUUUUAUGGCUGAAUUAUAUUCCAUUGUCUGUAUAUGCUGCAUUUUGUAUAUACACUUAUCAGUUCAUGGACAAUGUAGCGUUUCUACUUUCGGCUAUUGUAUAUCCUAAACCAUAGUAUACCACUCCUAAGCCACAGUCCCUCUGUUUCCUUGAAACCUUUUCUCUGGUCACACUAUUGGGGUUGGAGAAUCUAGGUUCUAAUUCCUGAUCUAAUUGGCCAAUUCUAUGACCUUGGGCAGCCCUUUGAAGCUUUCUUUUUCACUGAAUUCAUCUGUAAAGAUGACAGUAAGACACCACUUGACAUUGUCAGUAGAAUGUACGUGCCUGACCCCUUUCAAACUCUGAUGAAUGCUAGUAAUCCUGAAAACCACUCUUCUUUCCCCUCUUCCAGAUCACCUUGAUGCUUCCAGCUUCCCCAAAGAAGUCUCCUUUGGAUGAUAUCCUCAUCCCUUCUCACCAAGACAUCCGACAUCUCUUCCACUAGUCUUCCACCAGUGCCCACCAUUUUUAGUUCCUUGGACUUCCCUCAGCCCUAACACCUGCUGUAAUGUCCCCUGUCUCUAAUCCUAACUGAUCGUGACUGAAAAAGACCACGAAACUCUGUCCCCUGGUGCCACAGCAGAGAUUGGCAUUCUCAACCCCAGCACCCUCCCCAAGCCCCCGAGUCAGCCCCUCUUUCCAGUCCUCACCAAGGCUAGUCCCUCACCUCGUCGCCCCCUUCCCUCAUGCUCCGGCUCCAACUUCACACACACAAAGAAGGAACAGAAGCCCCCGAGGCAGCUCUCCUUCAUGCUCACCAGCUCUGGGCCUGCAGCGGUGUCUGCCGACCCGGCUGCCCAUCACACACUCCCACCUGCCUCAGUGGGAGUGUCCCUCCUCCUUGGCCUAAAUACUGGCCUCCUGCUGGGCCCUCUGGGGUCUUGCUCCACAGAUCCACUGCUCAAGCUCCAACACCUACCUCUGCCCCCCACUCUAGAGCACCCUCAGCUCCCCCAAUAUAAAGAAACUGCCCUCAGGGUUAUGUCACCCUCCUGGCUCCUCCCAGAAUGGACAUCUGCUGUCCUUCCUUCAUCAUGGGCCGUGAGCUUCCACCUCACCCCUCCAGCUCCCUAGACCACUUUAAUGAAGACCACCAAGGACUUCCAAGUUCCUGAAUCCAAUAAUCUGUUGCAUAUAUACCUAGUGGCGCUCCCUUUUCCUGAAAAUUCCUCAGUCCUUGGCUCUGAGAUGCUAUUCUACCCUCUAGACACUCUAUUCCCCAAAUUUGGAGAGGUUGCUGUUCCUGUUGGUGAUGCACCAAAGGAAGGUUUUGUUGGUUAUGUAGCACUCAUCCCCGGAUCCAUUCUCUGCCCCGCUCUGCCCCUUGAAAGGCUGGUCCCCAUGCAUUACGUCAUCAGGGCUCCUUCACUCUCUGGCUUCUGGUAGGACAGAAACAGGCAGAAGAAUGAAGAACAGUAUGAAGACAGGCAGGGUAUUUAUCCCAUGCAUUCCAUGCCACCUCCUCCUCCCUCUUCCCUAUUGGUUCUAGGAUAGCAGUUCUGGGUGGGUGGCCUGACCCCCAUAGCACCAGGUACAGCUGGGCUCAGUUCCCUCACAGUGUCACUUCCACCACUGCUAGCCCUGAGUGCCUCAUCACCCCUUGUAUAUUCCAGGAAUUCUGCCCUUAGCCCCGUAAAUGGUCCCAAACUGAUGCCUGUCCACAACUUGUUACAUACAGUUGGUUUUAACAAUAGUUAUUUAAUGCUUAAAGGGAAAAAAAUAUUGUGUUUUAAUUCAUUCUAGAGUCUCUUGUGUAUAGUGGUUUACACCUAUAUCCCAGAAGCUGAGGCCAGAGGAUCACAAGUUCAAGACCAGCCUGGGCAACAAAGAGAGACUCUAUCUCAAACUAAAAAAUAAAAAGAGCACUAGGCAGGGUGGUGCAUGCCUGUAAUCCCAACACCCCAGGAGGCUGAUGCAGGAGGAUCAAAGCCAGCCUCAGCAAAAGCAAGGCUUUGCUAAGCAAUUCAGUGAGACCUUUUCUCUAAAUAAAAUACAAAAUAGGGGUGGGGAUGUGGCUCAAUGGCCAAGUGCCCCUGGGUUCAGUGCUGGUACCCCCAAAAAUAAAAUAAGAUAAAACAAAAAGGGCUGUGCAUGUAGCUCAGUGAUAAUAUCCCUGUGUUCAUUCCCCAAUUCCAAAAAGAUAAAAUCUCUUCUUUUUUUUUUCUUUGCACCACUUAUGAUCAAUAGAAAUGCAUUUCUAAGCAAGUUUUUAUGGGAUCUAAAACAAUUAGACACACACACACACACACACACACUCACACACAAAAACAAACAUACAGACAAGCACACACCAUAUCCCCUGGAGAAAACUAACCUGACACUUAUCCUUGUUCUAAAGAG